AUGGACAUGAGGGCCGUCUGCUCAACCUGGCGCUCUGCCAUCGCCAAGCCAUCUCCGCUCGCCGCGGUAGCUGGCCUCCGUUUCCGCCCACGCCACUGGGUCAUGCUGGACCUGCAACCCGACGACCGCAACGACGACGAUGACGCUCGCCUCUUCCUCCACGUCCCCACCGGGCGCAUCCGCCGCCUGCACCUCCCGGUGCUCCGCGACAACUUCGUCGCCGGUGCUACUGACGGUCUCCUCGUGCGCGGGGACAUGUAUCCACCGCACUUGGCUCGUGUCCUCAACCCCUUUACAGGUGACAUGCUCCACUUCCCCGCGGCGUUACCUCGACAUUUUAAGCAUACCUCGGUGAAGGGAGGCUCUCAUUCAACGCUGGUCUUGCUGAGAUGGGGCUCGGUGGUCUGUGCUGCCCCGAACAGCGAUUUCUUUACAGAGACAGAGGAGGCCGUUGAAACGUACCUGGUGAGCAUUGUUAACUACCAAGGCGACGUCUAUUGUGCCGAUGCGCGUGGAUGUGUAUUCAAGUUGGUCGCACCAGCAGCAGACCAGUGUGAUGAUGAUGAGCUCCUGGUCAUACCCGAGGUGUCGCCGCCGGGUGUGGACGUAUAUGCAGAAGAGGGAGAUGAUGAUGAUGAUACAAAAGAGGGAGAUGAUGGCAGCGAAAUGCCUUCUUAUCUCGUGGAGUCUGCUGGGGAACUGUUGCUUGUUCGCUAUGUGGAUGAAACUUUGAAAGUUUUCAGAGUCGACGUCGAGCACAAGUUGUUGGAAGAGGUCAAGAGCCUCGGCGGCCGCACGUUGUUCCUCGGCCAAGAGAGGUGUGUCUCUGUGGAUGCAGCUAAGCUUCCGUCUGUUGACGGAGAUUGCAUAUACAUGUUAGAUUUUGAAAACGUGUCCAUGUCAGAUUCUGAAGACAUGUCCAUGUCAGAUUCUGAAGACAUGCCCAUUUUAGAUUCUGGAGACAAGUGCGACAUGUGCGUGUAUAACCUAAGAGGUGACAUGGUGGAUAUUAUCUACAGCAAGGACUUUCGUGCUCGACCUUUUAGCCUUGUUCAGGUUCUCUUGUGGUACUGCGAUGUCCUUCCCAAAUUGUAG
rnacentral:rRNA from 1 species